rnacentral:rRNA from 1 species
CGGGGUAACGGCCCACCAAGGCGACGAUCAGUAGCCGGACUGAGAGGUUGAACGGCCACAUUGGGACUGAGAUACGGCCCAGACUCCUACGGGAGGCAGCAGUGGGGAAUAUUGGGCAAUGGGCGCAAGCCUGACCCAGCAACGCCGCGUGAAGGAAGAAGGCUUUCGGGUUGUAAACUUCUUUUAAGAGGGAAGAGCAGAAGACGGUACCUCUAGAAUAAGCCACGGCUAACUACGUGCCAGCAGCCGCGGUAAUACGUAGGUGGCAAGCGUUGUCCGGAUUUACUGGGUGUAAAGGGCGUGCAGCCGGGUCUGCAAGUCAGAUGUGAAAUCCAUGGGCUCAACCCAUGAACUGCAUUUGAAACUGUAGAUCUUGAGUGUCGGAGGGGCAAUCGGAAUUCCUAGUGUAGCGGUGAAAUGCGUAGAUAUUAGGAGGAACACCAGUGGCGAAGGCGGAUUGCUGGACGAUAACUGACGGUGAGGCGCGAAAGUGUGGGGAGCAAACAGGAUUAGAUACCCUGGUAGUCCACACUGUAAACGAUGAAUACUAGGUGUGCGGGGACUGACCCCCUGCGUGCCGCAGUAAACACAAUAAGUAUUCCACCUGGGGAGUA